rnacentral:rRNA from 1 species
AUGGCCGCCGCUGCAUCGUCCUCCUCCCCUCCAGCGGCCAUCACCUGCCGAGCGGCGGUGGCAUGGGGGCCGGGGCAGGCGCUGGUGAUGGAGGACGUGGAGGUCGCCCCGCCGGGGCCACUAGAGAUCCGCGUCAAGGUCGUCUCCACCUCCAUCUGCCGCAGCGACGUCACCCAGUGGCAGUCCACGGCGCAGCCCGAUCUGUUCCCCAGAAUUUUCGGGCACGAAGCAUCCGGGGUGGUCGAGAGCGUCGGGGAAGGAGUGACCGAGUUCCAAGUCGGAGACCACGCGCUCACCGUCUUCAUCGGGGAAUGCAUGAGCUGCAAGCAUUGCGUGUCGAGCAAAAGCAACAUGUGCCAGACGCUCGGCCUGGAGAGGAAGGGCGUCAUGCACAGCGACCAGACCACCCGCUUCUCCAUCGGCGGGAAGCCCGUGUACCAUUACUGCGCCGUGUCGAGCUUCAGCGAGUACGCGGUUGUCCACUCGGGCUGCGCGGUCAAGGUCAGCCCCACCAUGCCCAUGGACAGGAUAUGCCUGCUCAGCUGCGGCGCCUCUGCAGGCCUUGGUGCGGCUUGGAAUGUUGCUGAUGUAUCCAAGGGAUCAAGUGUAGUUAUAUUUGGUCUUGGAACUGUAGGACUUUCGGUCGCUCAAGGUGCUAAGCUACGGGGAGCUUCCAAGAUUAUUGGAGUAGAUACCAAUCCUGAUAAGCAAGAAAAGGGGAAGUCUUUUGGUGUUACAGAUUUUAUUAAUCCUGCCGAAUUGAAUGAACCUGUUCAGCAGGUAGUAAAACGGCUUACUGAUGGAGGGGCUGAUUACUCUUUUGAAUGUGUGGGUGAUACCGGAGUAGUCUCGACUGCAUUGCAAUCAUGUUCUGAUGGAUGGGGCCUGACUGUAACUCUUGGCGUACCAAAAGCAAAACCAGAAGUUUCUGCUCAUUAUGGAUUGCUUCUCUCUGGAAGAACACUGAAGGGGUCUUUGUUUGGAGGAUGGAGACCCAAAUCUGAUAUACCUUUGUUAGUGGAGAAGUACGCAAACAAGGAAAUCCAAGUUGAUGGCCUUGUCACACAUGAUAUGCCAUUCAGUGACAUCAACAAAGCGCUUGAACUGAUGCUACAAAACAGGUGUUUGCGAUGCGUGAUUCACAUGCCAAAGUGA